ACAAUGGUGGUUCAGUGGUAAAAGUCUCAUCUCCAAUGUGAGAGACCUGGGUUAGAUUCCCGGCCAAUGCA
rnacentral:tRNA from 1 species